UUCCCAUUGAACUACAAGCACAGUCAGAGAACUGUGUUAAAGCACAAAAACUAAGACAAGAAAUGGUGGUGUCAGGAAGCCUGCAGCCUGGGGUUGGCAGAAACCAACGACACGUAAAGAAACCAAGCAGAAGAUCAAGAUGCAGAGGUUGGAGGCGAUCAACUGGCAGUGGGGCUUUGGUGGAAAAGGAGAUGUCAGAGAGGAAGGAGAGCAGGUCAUACACCAGCCCCUCUCGGCUAGAUAAGUUCUCUGCUAAAACACCUCAAACAAAAUGAGAAAUCUACUACAAAGCCAGUUCUAUUCUCUCAUCUCAAGCACCAUCCCAAAUGAUCCUGUGCAGAAGAGAAAAACCUUUCACAGAGUACACCCCCAAAAAACAAGGCAUCUCCCUGCCAGGGUAGAUGUCAGACUGGAGAGGGUUCCACUCCCAGCCCUUCCUACCAUGUUGACAGCCCCAGACAGAAGGACCACCACCAGCACCAGGAGAUCCAGAGGAGGAAAGCACCAGCAGCCCUUGUUUCCCGGCCCCCCUGGGGAAGACAUCUCCAGGGAGAGUCUCACAGAGCAGCCCAGCUGUUGUGAAAAGAUACCGCAAGGGAUAGACACCCCUGCACCUGGCUGCUAUAAAGGGAGAUGUGGAGACCGUGAAGGAGCUCCUAGGCCAGGGGGCUGACCCCAACCUGAAAGACGCCGCUGGAUGGACCCCACUGGGAUUCAUUGUGUUGGGGAAUACAACAAAAACAGCUGAACAUCAUUCUACAGGACUGUUAUGGUUCAGUGAGAAACAUGACUGGCGAAGGAGUCACUCAGAGCUGGUUUGAACAGACAUGUCAACGACCCCCCCACCCCUCUCAGUUUGGCAUGGAAUAUACAGAAGGACACCAAAUUCACAACGAGCAACAAUGUGUUUGUAGGCGUAAUUAAAAAGUUGAGGAAAGAGGGGCGCGACAAAACUGCCCAUCACGCAGCCAUAACUGAAGUUUGAACACGACAUGCAGCUCAUCAAACAAUCCAAGGCUCUGGACACUGAAACAUCUGAGGGUUUGGUGAACAAAGUGUGGUUUGAUGUUAAUUUUGGGCGAAUGGGAAGGAGGGAGAACGUUUUUUUAAAACUGACUGAUUUAAAAUAUGUACAGACACAGUUUUUACAUGAAUGUAAUGUACGUUUGCUAUCUAGCCUGUGGUUAUGUUUCACAACAACCAGUCUAGCAACACAACUUUUGUCCGGACUACUUUUUCUGGCGGAAUGUAUUUAUGAAUUUAUUUAUUAUAGCUAAAUGUUCAAUUUAGAUGUGUCGUUCCUUGCCUUGCUGUGUUGGCAACCGGUUUAUAAAAGCAAUAAGACACAUCGGGGGGUUAGUGGUAUAUGGCCUAUAUACCACGGUCAAGGGCUGUAUCCAUGUACUCGUGCAAAAUAAAACAACCCAUAGCCGCGGUAUAUAGGUCCUAUACAACACCCCCUCAGGCCUUAUUGCUUAAAUGUCCA